rnacentral:tRNA from 1 species
UGGCUUAGUGGUUAAGGCUAUGGAUCGCCAAUCCGGAGACGGCGGGUUCGAUUCCCGU